GGUUAGGGUUAGGGUUUAGGGGUUAGGGUUAGGGUUAGGGUUAGGGUUAGGGUUAGGGUUAGGGUUAGGGUUAGGGUUAGGGUUGGGGUUAGGGUUAGGGUUAGGGUUAGGGUUAGGGUUAGGGUUUAGGGUUAGGGGUUAGGGUUAGGGGUUAGGGUUAG